rnacentral:rRNA from 1 species
GACGAACGCUGGCGGCGUGCCUAAUACAUGCAAGUAGAACGCUGAAGGAGGAGCUUGCUUCUCUGGAUGAGUUGCGAACGGGUGAGUAACGCGUAGGUAACCUGCCUGGUAGCGGGGGAUAACUAUUGGAAACGAUAGCUAAUACCGCAUAAUAGUAGAUGUUGCAUGACAUUUGCUUAAAAGGUGCAAUUGCAUCACUACCAGAUGGACCUGCGUUGUAUUAGCUAGUUGGUGGGGUAACGGCUCACCAAGGCGACGAUACAUAGCCGACCUGAGAGGGGGAUCGGCCACCCUGGGACUGAAACCCGGCCCAAACUCCUGGGGGGGGCAGCAGUGGGGAAUUUUCGGCAAUGGACGGAAGUCUGACCGGGCAACCCCGGGGGGGUGAAAAGGGUUUUCGGAUCGUAAAACUCUUUUGUAAGGGAAAAACGGGGGGGGGAGGGAAAAUUUCCCACUGUGGCGGUAUUUUACCAAAAAGGAACGGCUAACUCCGU